rnacentral:tRNA from 1 species
GCCAUGAUAGUUUAUAGCGAACAUCAGCCUGUGACGCUGAAAAUGGAAUUACACCCUCAUGACC